UCACGAAGGUCCCAGCAGGGAGGUGAUUAAACUCUAAACGAGUCCUCUCUAACACUUACUUUUUACCUUCGAAAAUUAUUGCCAAAUCGUAGGAUGCUCCAUAUAUUUCCAUUUUGGUGAUGUCUUGAAAUCUUGGCUACAUAUAC